CUGGGAUUACAGGCGUGAGCCACCGCGCCUGGCCUGUAUAUACUCUUUUUUGAACAAACAGCUUCAUGUUUUCUUUAUUGAACUUUUUAACUUAAUUAGGUCAUGCUAAAUUUGUAUGUAAGAGAAGGACGAGAUUUUCUUGCAGAACAGAUAAUAACUCAGAGACCAGAAUGAACUUAUAAAAUAAGGUCUGGUCUUGCCCGGGCUGGAGUGCGG
rnacentral:lncRNA from 1 species